UGGGGAAUUUUGGACAAUGGGGGAAACCCUGAUCCAGCCAUCCCGCGUGUGCGAUGAAGGCCUUCGGGUUGUAAAGCACUUUUGGCAGGAAAGAAACGUCAUGGGUUAAUACCCCGUGAAACUGACGGUACCUGCAGAAUAAGCACCGGCUAACUACGUGCCAGCAGCCGCGGUAAUACGUAGGGUGCAAGCGUUAAUCGGAAUUACUGGGCGUAAAGCGUGCGCAGGCGGUUCGGAAAGAAAGAUGUGAAAUCCCAGAGCUCAACUUUGGAACUGCAUUUUUAACUACCGGGCUAGAGUGUGUCAGAGGGAGGUGGAAUUCCGCGUGUAGCAGUGAAAUGCGUAGAUAUGCGGAGGAACACCGAUGGCGAAGGCAGCCUCCUGGGAUAACACGGACGCUCUUGCACGAAAGCGUGGGGAGCAAACAGG
rnacentral:rRNA from 1 species